rnacentral:tRNA from 1 species
GCGGGCUUGGCGGAAUUGGCAGACGCGCUGGAUUUAGGUUCCAGUACCGCAAGGUGUGAAGGUUCAAGUCCUUUUGCCCGCAC